rnacentral:rRNA from 1 species
CCUACGGGAGGCAGCAGUGGGGAAUAUUGGGCAAUGGAGGCAACUCUGACCCAGCAACGCCGCGUGAAUGAUGAAGGUCUUCGGAUUGUAAAGUUCUGUGAUGGGGGAUGAACACAAUGACGGUACCCCAAUAGCAAGCCACGGCUAACUACGUGCCAGCAGCCGCGGUAAUACGUAGGUGGCAAGCGUUAUCCGGAAUGACUGGGCGUAAAGGGUGCGUAGGUGGUUUAGUAAGUUGGCGGUGUAAUUCCGGGGCUCAACCCUGGAACUGCAUUUGAAACUGUAGUUCUUGAGUGAUGGAGAGGCAGGCGGAAUUCCGUGUGUAGCGGUGAAAUGCGUAGAUAUACGGAGGAACACCAGUGGCGAAGGCGGCCUGCUGGACAUUAACUGACGCUGAAGCGCGAAAGCGUGGGGAGCAAACAGGAUUAGAUACCCCAGUAGUC